rnacentral:rRNA from 1 species
UACGGAGGGUGCAAGCGUUAAUCGGAAUUAUUGGGCGUAAAGAGCGUGUAGGCGGUUCGGUAAGUCUGUCGUGAAAUCCUGAGGCUCAACCUUGGACGUGCGAUGGAUACUGCCGGGCUAGAGGAUGGUAGAGGCGAGUGGAAUUCCCGGUGUAGCGGUGAAAUGCGCAGAUAUCGGGAGGAACACCAGUAGCGAAGGCGGCUCGCUGGGCCAUUCCUGACGCUGAGACGCGAAAGCUAGGGGAGCGAACAGG